rnacentral:rRNA from 1 species
UACCAGCACCCCGAGUGGUCGGGACGUUUAUUGGGCCUAAAGCAUCCGUAGCCGGUUCUACAAGUCUUCCGUUAAAUCCAACUGCUUAACAGGUGGGCUGCGGAAGAUACUAUAGAGCUAGGAGGCGGGAGAGGCAAGCGGUACUCGAUGGGUAGGGGUAAAAUCCGUUCGAUCCAUUGAAGACCACCAGUGGCGAAGGCGGCUUGCCAGAACGCGCUCGACGGUGAGGGAUGAAAGCUGGGGGAGCAACCGG